rnacentral:rRNA from 1 species
UACGAACCGCACGAACGUUAUUCGGAAUCACUGGGCUUAAAGGGUGCGUAGGCGGUCUAGUAAGUUGGGUGUGAAAUCCCUCGGCUCAACCGAGGAAUAGCGCUCAAUACUGCUAGACUUGAGGGAGAUAGAGGUAAGCGGAACUCAGGGUGGAGCGGUGAAAUGUGUUGAUAUCCUGGGGAACACCAGUUGCGAAAGCGGCUUACUGGGUCUCUUCUGACGCUGAGGCACGAAAGCUAGGGGAGCGAACGGG